rnacentral:rRNA from 1 species
CAGCAGCCGCGGUAAUACAGAGGGUGCAAGCGUUAAUCGGAUUUACUGGGCGUAAAGCGUGCGUAGGCGGUUCGUUAAGUCGAUUGUGAAAGCCCUGGGCUUAACCUGGGAAUUGCAGUCGAUACUGGCGGACUAGAGAACGGUAGAGGGAGGCGGGACUCCAGGUGUAGCGGUGAAAUGCGUAGAUAUCUGGAAGAACACCGAUGGCGAAGGCAACCUCCUGGGCCUGUUCUGACGCUGAGGCACGAAAGCGUGGGUAGCAAACAGGAUUAGAUACCCUGGUAGUCCACGCUGUAAACGAUGAGAACUUGACGUCGGGUCGCUUAGCGAUUCGGUGUCGAAGCUAACGCGCUAAGUUCUCCGCCUGGGGAGUACGGCCGCAAGGUUGAAACUCAAAGGAAUUGACGG